CUUCUUUCUUUCUUUCUUCGUUUCUUUCUUCUUCUUUUUUUCCCUCACUUACUCAUCAUACCUAGUUUAUAUUUCCAAAUCAUUUCCUUCAUCAAGCUGUUUUACAUCAUAAAACACCAUGAUCUUGAUACAGAAUCUCUGUGUUCUUGAUACAUUCUCGGAGUUAUUUACCACCUGCUAAUUGGAUCUUAUGAGUAGAUGAAAUUGCUACAUCAGUGCAUCUACUAUACUUACUGUUGUGGAGCACCGUGGUGCCAUUGUUCCUUGGCAAAUUGUGGCCUGAAAGACUGGAGCUGUUUCGGAGUUUGUGGAUUUGGAUCAGAAUGAGCUGAUUGAUGUAAGACAACUAACAUAAAUGGUAUCAAAGAAGGCCAAACUCAUUGUCGUUCACCAUGGGUCUAAUGUUGUGGGUGGGGAAACUUUUUAUACUGAACUGCCAUUGGUAUAUGUUGGCUCUGAAUAGGUUAGACCAGGAGGAGUGGAGUUGAUUUAUAUCGUCUCCUGACAGUUUUCUUGAUAUUGUCUUUCAUUUAUAGAUCGAUUGAGGAAUGUACACGCAGCAAAAGGGCUAGCAAAUUUUUACUCGAAGUCUGGCUAGUUAAGCAUUGGCUCUAGUGUCUAUCGUGCAUCCCGCAUCAGCUUAUUCCAUUUAUGUACGUUACAUUAAUUCACCAUGUAGCUUAAUAUGCAGAACUUGAUUAGAUUUGAAGCUGGAACACCUGCGAUCAGGGAGGCCGUUGGGCUAGAAAUAAAUGAGAUAAAGAGUAAUAUACAGAACAGAUGAUAGGGGAGCUAAGGUCAAGUGGGAUUCUGUAUGCUUACCCAAGAAAGAAGGGGGCUAGGGGUUAAAGACACGUGUUUAUGGAAUUCAGUUUGUAACCUUAUAUUGAUUUGGCUCUUGUUGAGCAAAUCAGGUUCAAUAUGGAUUGCUUGGUUAAAUGUUAAUAUCAUCAAAGGUAGAAGCUUAUGGUCA